rnacentral:lncRNA from 1 species
CAGCUCUCUGAUCCCCUGCCAAGGGCAUGGGGUGCACAGACAGAAACAGCAACAUCUUGAGACAUCUGCUUUAGGACACAGAGCUCACCUGUUGGGCACACACUCUCUCAUUAGGCCAGAGCUCAGGAGCAUGAUGACAGACCCAUUUAACUGCAGAACCACCAGUCAGCAAGAAUAUUCUUCAUAAUUAAAA